rfam:Cavia porcellus supercont2_9 genomic scaffold, whole genome shotgun sequence.
GGUUUAGCUCAGCGGCAUAAGCGCCUGCCUUCAAAGCAGGCAGUCGUGAGUUCGAAACUCGGUACCA